GAUGAACGCUGGCGGCGUGCCUAACACAUGCAAGUCGAACGGGUGUGGUAUCAGGGAAAAGGGGUUUACUUCUUUGACCAGAUAACACACUAGUGGCGGACGGGUGAGUAACGCGUGGAUAACCUGCCUUAUACAGGGGGAUAACAGGGAGAAAUUCUUGCUAAUACCCCAUAGGUAUGUCUGACGCAUGUUGGACAUAUUAAAGCUUUGGCGGUAUAAGAUGGGUCCGCGUCUGAUUAGCUAGUUGGUGGGGUAAAGGCCCACCAAGGCGACGAUCAGUAGCCGGCUUGAGAGAGUGGACGGCCACAUUGGGACUGAGACACGGCCCAAACUCCUACGGGAGGCAGCAGUGGGGAAUAUUGCACAAUGGGGGAAACCCUGAUGCAGCGACGCCGCGUGAAGGAGAAGGUCUUCGGAUCGUAAACUUCUAUCAGCAGGGAAGAAGGAAGUGACAGUACCUGAGUAAGAAGCCCCGGCUAACUACGUGCCAGCAGCCGCGGUAAAAGUACUCUA
rnacentral:rRNA from 1 species